CUCGCAAGAGGCAAAGCAGGGGACCUUCGGGCCUUGCGCUACCGGAUAUGCCCAGGUGGGAUUAGCUAGUUGGUGAGGUAAGGGCUCACCAAGGCGACGAUCCCUAGCUGGUCUGAGAGGAUGAUCAGCCACACUGGAACUGAGACACGGUCCAGACUCCUACGGGAGGCAGCAGUGGGGAAUAUUGCACAAUGGGCGCAAGCCUGAUGCAGCCAUGCCGCGUGUAUGAAAGAAGGCCU
rnacentral:rRNA from 1 species